GAUGAAGAACGCAGUGAAAUGCGAUAAGUAGUGUGAAUUGCAGAAUUCAGUGAAUCAUCGAAUCUUUGAACGCACAUUGCGCCCCUCGGUAUUCCGUGGGGCAUGCCUGUUCGAGCGUCAUCUACACCCUCAAGCUCUGCUUGGUGUUGGGCGUCUGUCCCGCCUCCGCGCGUGGACUCGCCCCAAAUUCAUUGGCAGCGGUCCUUGCCUCCUCUCGCGCAGCACAUUGCGCUUCUCGAGGGGCUACGGCUCGCGUCCAACAAGCACAUUUACCGUCUUUGACCUCGGAUCAGGUAGGGAUACCCGCUGAACUUAAGCAUAUCAAUAAGCGGAGGA
rnacentral:misc_RNA from 1 species